rnacentral:rRNA from 1 species
UACGAGUGCCUCAAGCGUUAUCCGGAAUUAUUGGGCGUAAAGGGCUCGUAGGCGGUCUGUCGCGUCGGGAGUGAAAACUCAGGGCUUAACCCUGAGCCUGCUUCCGAUACGGGCAGACUAGAGGUAUGCAGGGGAGAACGGAAUUCCUGGUGUAGCGGUGGAAUGCGCAGAUAUCAGGAGGAACACCGGUGGCGAAGGCGGUUCUCUGGGCAUUACCUGACGCUGAGGAGCGAAAGUGUGGGGAGCGAACAGG